GUACUCAUGUUUCUCUUCAGAUCGAAUAACUAUUUAGCCUUUUACUAAAGAUCUCAGUGGAGGGAAACAACAAGAGACCUACUUAAUUUAUGAGACCUUGACUAUAAGAGUAAAAC